rnacentral:misc_RNA from 1 species
GUCUCUGCAAACCCGCCUUGUCCCUUCACCAUCAGCUUCCUGGGUUUCAACUUGACUCAAAUCUGACCACACUAAAUCCACCUACAGACGCCUAGUUAAUUCCCUCAACUCUCACUCAUCUCCACACCACACCAAAUCCACCCGCAGAUGCCUCUCCCUCAUCACCAUCAACAUUUCCCUUAUCCCUUCAUCUCUUUCCCCAAAUCUAGACCAUGAAUUCCCCUCCCCACACUCAAAUUCAGUUUUUCCCUCAAAGCAACUAACAGACUCACAAAUGUUGCGAUAUUGGCUCAACGUCCAUCCUCAAAAACAAAGUUACAGCCUCAUCAAACAACCCGCCCUCACAUACCCAGAUAUGAUAUUGGUCCAAGAGACCACAUCUCUUACGAGCAUCUCAUCAAAUACCCUGCCUGCACCACAAUCACAACAAGCAUUACAAAAACAAAGAAGCGAGUUUUGCAUGUAGAUAUUAAUUACAAGAUCUUAACAACAACCUUGUGAAUCUACCUUCCCUCUCCAUUCCCCAUAAACUUAUAGCACAAUUUCAAAACAGCAAGGAAAGUGUACAUAUUGGGCAAAAACCCACAACGCUUCACCGUCGAAAUCGACAGUGACAUUAAAAGGGAAAUGAUCUUCAUACAAGUGACACAGUGGUCAAUAAGCUGGAUGGAAAAUUUGUUUAGCAUGCAGAAAGGACUUCUCUUGAAAUUGUCCUCUUUGAGGAGCACUUCCACAGCCAAGCCUUACUCUUUCCUCUCCCUUAGUUUCUCUCCAGUUUGGGAAGGAUUUCCGAAAAAAUCUUUUUCUCAAUUUUUUGCUAUAAUUGUUGAUUGAAAGAAGUUUGUUGCUAUUAAUUGUUGAAAGAAAUUUGUUGUUGGAAAAUUUGUUCCUGUAAUUGAGGAGAGAGGCUGAAAAUUUUUCAUUAAUUUGUUGUUGUAAUGCUGGUUU